UACGGAGGAUGCAAGCGUUAUCCGGAAUGAUUGGGCGUAAAGCGUCCGCAGGUGGCUAUGUAAGUCUGCUGUUAAAGAGUCUAGCUCAACUAGAUAAAAGCAGUGGAAACUACACGGCUAGAGUACGUUCGGGGCAGAGGGAAUUCCUGGUGUAGCGGUGAAAUGCGUAGAGAUCAGGAAGAACACCGGUGGCAAAGGCGCUCUGCUAGGCCGUAACUGACACUGAGGGACGAAAGCUAGGGGAGCGAAUGGG
rnacentral:rRNA from 1 species